CCCUCCCUCCCUCCCUCCUCUUCCUCGGUGAGGCGCUCCUCCGGCAGGCAGGCAGCAUGGCGGCCGUGGAGACGCGGGUGUGCGAGACGGACGGCUGCAGCAGCGAGGCCAAGCUCCAGUGUCCCACCUGCAUCAAGCUGGGCAUCCAGGGCUCGUACUUCUGCUCGCAGGAAUGUUUUAAAGGAAGUUGGGCUACGCACAAGUUACUACAUAAGAAAGCAAAAGAUGAAAAGGCAAAGCGGGAAGUGUCUUCCUGGACUGUAGAAGGUGAUAUAAACACUGACCCCUGGGCAGGUUAUCGAUAUACUGGUAAACUCAGACCACAUUAUCCACUGAUGCCAACAAGGCCAGUGCCAAGUUAUAUUCAAAGACCAGAUUAUGCUGAUCAUCCCUUAGGAAUGUCUGAAUCUGAACAGGCUCUUAAAGGUACUUCUCAAAUUAAAUUACUCUCAUCUGAAGACAUAGAAGGGAUGCGACUUGUAUGUAGGCUUGCUAGAGAAGUGCUGGAUAUUGCUGCUGGGAUGAUUAAACCAGGUGUAACUACUGAAGAAAUAGAUCAUGCUGUACACUUAGCAUGCAUUGCAAGAAAUUGCUAUCCUUCUCCCCUGAAUUACUAUAAUUUCCCAAAGUCUUGUUGUACUUCAGUGAAUGAAGUCAUAUGCCAUGGAAUUCCAGACAGACGACCUUUGCAAGAAGGUGAUAUUGUUAAUGUGGACAUCACUCUU